CGGUGGAAGUGGCGUCACUUCCGGCCGCCGCCUGCCGGCAGCGGAGCGGAGGCGCCAUGUCCACAUCGCUGGGCUCCAACACCUACAACCGGCAGAACUGGGAGGAUGCGGACUUCCCUAUCCUGUGCCAGACAUGUCUUGGAGAAAAUCCCUAUAUUCGGAUGACCAAAGAAAAAUAUGGAAAAGAAUGCAAGGUAUGUUUGUGCGUUUUGAAGAAAAAAUGUCAAAAUAGGUGCAGAUCUAGGAAUAAUACAUUUUAAUUAUUAAAAACCUGUCAGCUUCAGAAGAGUGCUUAUCUGGGUUAACUUAAAAUGUUUAUGUAACUGAAUAAAUUUUUAGGUCAGUCUACUGUGCUUGUUAGACAAAGUCAGUUGGUCCAAAAAUAGUAAAAUUAUUGAACAAAUCCUAAAUCUGUCUAAAAAACCUUCAUGUUUAUCAGAACGUGGUUUUGUAAAUACUGUUCUACUGUAUUUGAAGUUAUUGCAGCACUUUGAAUGGUCCUUGUUUUCUUCUGCAUGUUUGUUGUUUGUACUGGAAAGUGCAAAAUACCUGGAGUGUGGGUUUUGCUGUGUAUGUUAUUCAUGGCUGUUGGGUGGUUUGUGUUAUUUCCAAGAGCAAGAAAUACUCAGUGUUGUCUGGACUGAGAGAAAUUAAAGGAGAUUUUUUGCCCUCCUAUCACUUUUCAUCUGAGGUAGAGAAAAGGAGUAAUUUGGAGUCUGUACAGAUUGAGAUUGUGUUAUGUACUCAAGCUGUACAUGCAGAGGAAGUAAAUGCAUCAUUCCAUGAGAGAAGAGGGAGGAGCAGUUUUCUGCACCAAACCUCUCAUAACGUCUCCUGGGUUGCUGCUCUGCUGGUGCCUGAUGUACCCAUUGCUGUAAUUCAUCUCUAGAAGCUCCACACUGACAUCAUCUGGAAUCAAAGAGAAUUUAUGUAUCUUUGAGUAGAUCUGCACUUGGGUUAUUGCAAUAAAUAAAAGCAACAACAAAAAACUAUCUUCCCUAAAACUUCCUCCUGUCAAA